AGAGUUUGAUCCUGGCUCAGAACGAACGCUGGCGGCAUGCUUAACACAUGCAAGUCGAACGGAGUUAAUUGAGAAGCUUGCUUUUUGAUUAACUUAGUGGCGGACGGGUGAGUAACACGUGGGCAAUCUGCCCGUAAGAGGGGGAUAACACCUAGAAAUGGGUGCUAAUACCGCAUAACAUCAGAGUGCUGCAUGGUACUGUGAUCAAAGGAGCAAUCCGCAUACGGAUGAGCCCGCGGCUGAUUAGCUAGUUGGUGGGGUAACGGCCUACCAAGGCGACGAUCAGUAGCCGGCCUGAGAGGGUGAUCGGCCACACUGGAACUGAGACACGGUCCAGACUCCUACGGGAGGCAGCAGUGGGGAAUYUUSCGCAAUGGGCGAAAGCCUGACGSAGCAACGCCGCGUGAGUGAUGAAGGCCUUCGGGUCGUAAAGCUCUGUCAGUGGGGAAGAACCGCCGGGUGGUUAAUACCUGCCUGGUCUGACGGUACCCACAAAGGAAGCACCGGCUAACUCCGUGCCAGCAGCCGCGGUAAUA
rnacentral:rRNA from 1 species